GACAGAGGUGCCAAGCGUUAGGCGGAAUCACUGGGCUUAAAGCGUGUGUAGGCGGAUCGUUAAGUGCCUUGUGAAAUCCCACGGCUUAACUGUGGAACGGCUGGGCAUACUGGCGGUCUUGAGCCAUCUAGGGGCGACUGGAACAGACGGUGGAGCGGUGAAAUGCGUAGAUAUCGUUUGGAACGCCAAUGGUGAAAACAGGUCGCUGGGGAUGAGCUGACGCUGAGACACGAAAGCCAGGGGAGCAAACGGG
rnacentral:rRNA from 1 species